rnacentral:rRNA from 1 species
UCGGGAAUAUUGGACAAUGGGCGAAAGCCUGACGCAGCAACACCGCGUGAGGGAUGACGGCCUUCGGGUUGUAAACCUCUUUCAGCUCCGACGAAGCGAAAGUGACGGUAGGAGCAGAAGAAGCACCGGCUAACUACGUGCCAGCAGCCGCGGUAAUACGUAGGGUGCAAGCGUUGUCCGGAAUUAUUGGGCGUAAAGAGCUCGUAGGCGGUCCGUUGCGUCUGCCGUGAAAACCCGGAGCUCAACUCCGGGCCUGCGGUGGAUACGGGCGGACUAGAGUCCGGUAGGGGAGACUGGAAUUCCUGGUGGUAGCGGUGGAAUGCGCAGAUAUCAGGAGGAACACCGGUGGCGAAGGCGGGUCUCUGGGCCGGAACUGACGCUGAGGAGCGAAAGCGUGGGGAGCGACAGGAUUAGAUACCCUGGUAGUCCACACCGGUAAAACGAUGAAUGCCAGUCGUCGGGUAGCAUGCUAUUCGG